UUCUACGGCCAUACUGCCCUGAACACGCCUGAUCUCUUCUGAUCUCAGAAGCUAAGCAGGGUCAGGCCUGGUUAGUACUUGGAUAGGAGACCACCUGGGAAUACCAGGCGCCGUAGGCU